rnacentral:rRNA from 1 species
CCUACGGGCGGCAGCAGUGAGGAAUAUUGGUCAAUGGCCGAGAGGCUGAACCAGCCAAGUCGCGUGAGGGAAGACGGCCCUACGGGUUGUAAACCUCUUUUGUCGGGGAGCAAAGCGAGUCACGUGUGACUCAUUGAGAGUACCCGAAGAAAAAGCAUCGGCUAACUCCGUGCCAGCAGCCGCGGUAAUACGGAGGAUGCGAGCGUUAAUCGGAAUUACUGGGCGUAAAGGGUGUGCAGGCGGCUGAGUAAGACAGAUGUGAAAUCCCCGGGCUUAACCUGGGAACCGCAUAUGUGACUGCUUGGCUAGAGUGCGUCAGAGGGAGGUGGAAUUCCACGUGUAGCAGUGAAAUGCGUAGAUAUGUGGAAGAACACCGAUGGCGAAGGCAGCCUCCUGGGACGCAACUGACGCUCAUACACGAAAGCGUGGGGAGCAAACAGGAUUAGAUACCCGGGUAGUC